UACGUAGGGGGCGAGCGUUAUCCGGAUUCACUGGGUGUAAAGGGAGCGUAGACGGCCAUGCAAGCCAGGGGUGAAAGCCCGGGGCCCAACCCCGGGACUGCCCUUGGAACUGUGCGGCUAGAGUGCGGGAGGGGCAGGCGGAAUUCCUGGUGUAGCGGUGAAAUGCGUAGAUAUCGGGAGGAACACCAGUGGCGAAGGCGGCCUGCUGGACAUUAACUGACGCUGGGGCGCGAAAGCGUGGGGAGCAAACAGG
rnacentral:rRNA from 1 species